CAACUCAGAUACAACUCAGAUACAACUCAGAUACAGCUCAGUUUAGGAUCCUCAAAUCAAGUGAUAGAAAGAGAUAAAGUGUUUGGUUUUUCUUUCUAGGUUCUACAACUUCAGCUACAACUAAAGAGACACCAACAACAAUGACAACAAAUCUGUAAGUUCAAAUUUUCCACUCGGUCUUUAAAACUAGCUGAGCUGUAUGUUCACCUCAUUUUGGCGUUUUACUGUUUGCUUUUUGCAGAACUACAAAUGCACCGUCUGCAAACACAAAGAAGACGAGCGAUGAUAAUGAAAAUUCCAUGUUGAUCUGGGUUCUGCUGGCUGUAGGUCUGGGGCUGCUCUUCCUCCUGAUCAUCAUUAUUACCUUUAGGACAAGAAAGCGAAGUAAGUAUUUAUAAUCUGUCGUUUUUUAGUUUAAGUGAGGUCGGAUAGUGGCUACCA
rnacentral:lncRNA from 1 species